rnacentral:rRNA from 1 species
CCUACGGGUGGCAGCAGUGGGGAAUAUUGGACAAUGGGGGCAACCCUGAUCCAGCCAUGCCGCGUGUGUGAAGAAGGCCCUCGGGUUGUAAAGCACUUUCAGUGAGGAAGAACGCCUGGUGGUUAAUACCCAUCAGGAAAGACAUCACUCACAGAAGAAGCACCGGCUAACUCCGUGCCAGCAGCCGCGGUAAUACGGAGGGUGCGAGCGUUAAUCGGAAUUACUGGGCGUAAAGCGCGCGUAGGUGGCUUGAUAAGCCGGUUGUGAAAGCCCCGGGCUCAACCUGGGAACGGCAUGCGGAACUGGCAAGCUAGAGGGCAGGAGAGGAAGGUAGAAUUCUAGGUGUAGCGGUGAAAUGCGUAGAGAUCGGGAGGAAUACCAGUGGCGAAGGCGGCCUUCUGGACUGACACUGACACUGAGGUGCGAAAGCGUGGGUAGCAAACAGGAUUAGAUACCCGGGUAGUC